CGCGACGACAAAUUGCGCCCCUCGUUAUUUGGGGUGGCUGCGCGUUUCUCUCCGGCAUCUGUGCAUUAGGCGAAGUCGGGUUACGGUGUAUACGUAAGCUCGAUGGAAGCACUUCUCGUCGCGUCUCGCGUCACUUCCUAUUGCUUUGACACAUCAACAUUAGCUUGGUUAACUACGACCAAGUUUGCGCACGAAUCGUACGAGAAUUUCCCAUCAGAAUUUGAUUUGUCUACCGUCAAUCUAUCUGUAAACGAGACACAGACGUCGACUGCAUAUUUCGAACAGCGUAUCAUUUUUGUCUUACGCAGUUUUGUUUAGAUAAAUGAUUUCACACACAUGGACAUGUUAUAGAAUUAAAAGUGGAAAAUGUGUUGUUAUUUUUAAACAGCACAUGAUAUUGGCAAGAUGCAGAUGAACGCACGCAAACGCAGAAUGCAUUCCGCACAAUACGCACCGAUGCACAUAACGCAAUGUACGACAAGGAUGCCGCAAUCGAAGAUGGAUACCACAUGGAAGUGAGGGAGAAGGAGGAGGAGGAGGAGGAGGAAGAGCGAAAAGCACACGUAUAACACACGCACGGAAGGGAGAGAGGACGGGAGCGCGGUGUUAGCUGAGAGAGAAUGCAAACGUGUUUGGGACAAUGUCGAAGGGCGCGUACAAUGUCGAAGGCGGGGUUGCCGGGGAUAGACGGUCUAUUCGCCAGGCGACGAUCCUACGCAUGUAUCUCGGGUCGUUGUCGAAAUGGAGGUAAUUAGUAACUGCAUGUGAGGAGCAAAAGGAGGUGUCCCCCAUUUUGUGCAAAUACGAUGUGUUAAACUGGGCGAGAUAAGUUGAGAAAUAUUUUAGUAAUGGUUAAACACACACGUGAAAUUUGUUAACUGUAGGUAAAAGUUAAUAUUUGAAUAAUUUUUAUCAAAAUUUAUCCCCGUUAUAAUUUCAUAAAAUUCUCUACUUAAAAUAGUUUCUUUACUUCGAUUAUAAAAUCACGAAAAAACGUAAUGUGAUUGUAAUCAUAAAAAUAUACGUUUUCUGUGAUGAUAUUACAUUUGGAGAGAAAGUCUUUCUUUCAAAAAAAAAAAAAAAAA